CUAGAUGUAUCUUGUACUGCAGCCUCCUGUUACAAGCCAUGGAAUGGCAUAUUCUUAUUUAUUGACAAAGCUGUCUCUGUUUAUCUGGUAUCUGUUUCUUAUUUGCCCUAGUAACAUUC